CCUACGGUGGGCUGCAGUGAGGAAUAUUGGUCAAUGGGCGGAAGCCUGAACCAGCCAAGUAGCGUGCAGGAUGACGGCCCUACGGGUUGUAAACUGCUUUUAUACGGGAAUAACGCGCCUUACGUGUAGGGCUUUGCAUGUACCGUAUGAAUCUGGACCGGCUAAUUCCGUGUAAGCAGCCGGGGUAAGACGGAAGGUCCGGGCGUUAUCCGGAUUUAUUGGGUUUAAAGGGAGCGUAGGCCGCAUGUCAAGCGUGCUGUGAAAUGUCCGGGCUCAACCCGGGCCUUGCAGCGCGAACUGGCGUGCUGGAGUCCGCGGAAAGCAGGCGGAAUUCGUCGUGUAGCGGUGAAAGGCUUAGAUAUGACGAAGAACCCCGAUUGCGAAGGCAGCUUGCUGCAGCGGAACUGACGCUGAUGCUCGAAAGCGCGGGUAUCGAACAGGAUUAGAUACCCCAGUAGUC
rnacentral:rRNA from 1 species